UUGUUUUUAUUUUGUUUUACAGCUUUGUCUAAAAAAUAUUGUCAGCUUCUUGAUGAAAAAGAAAUCAUAAAAGAACUGAAUUACACUGAGUUGGUGUGUACAAAACAGCAUUCACUCUUGAAAGUCUGGAGCUGUUGCCCAAAGGAUUGGAAGCCAUUUAGUUCCCACUGCUACUUCAUUUCCACUGAUGAGGCAUCUUGGAGAGAGAGUGAGGAGAAGUGUUCCAGCAUGGGUGCUCAUCUGAUGGUGAUCCACAGCGAGGAAGAGCAGGAUUUCAUCACCAAGAUCCUGGAUUCUCAAGCUGCUUAUUAUAUUGGCCUUUCAGAU